rnacentral:piRNA from 1 species
UGCCUGUGGCUUUUCCAUACUUGGGGCGUG